GCGCGCCAACGACGCUAAUUUGGCUCUGUAGAGCCAAAUACAGCGCGUCCGCCGCGGUCUACGGAACCGAAGGUCAGAGGUUCGAAUCCUCUCGGGCGCGCUCCA
rnacentral:tRNA from 1 species